rnacentral:rRNA from 1 species
UACGUAGGGGGCAAGCGUUGUCCGGAAUCAUUGGGCGUAAAGCGCGUGUAGGCGGUUCGGUAAGUCCGCUGUGAAAGUCGGGGGCUCAACCCUCGGAUGCCGGUGGAUACUGUCGAGCUUGAGUACGGAAGAGGCGAGUGGAAUUCCUGGUGUAGCGGUGAAAAUGCGCAGAUAUCAGGAGGAACACCAGUGGCGAAGGCGGCUCACUGGCCCGGAACUGACGCUGAGGUGCGAAAGCGUGGGGAGCAAACAGG